GGCUCUCCUCACUGUUGCUCAUCCUGACUGCACACAUUGCCUCAGCACUACUGUUCAAAAACAGAUGGAUUUUUGGAGGUGCUGCAUGCUUCUAUCUCCUACAGAAACUGUUCCUGCUGUUCCAUCUCCCACCUCAUUCUCUCCACUCCAAGUAGAAGGUACUUGGGCAAAUGACUGGGAGUUCUCUUGAGAUCAAAUGAUGAGGGCAGCCAUCCUCCAAGGACACCCUAUGUGUGGCUUGAAGACUGGAUACCUCAUUAUAGAAGAGUUUGACUAAGUGGUUAUCAUUGAUGUUUCUUGUUUCGUGAUACUCCAGAUGAGAUUGUAAGCUGGACAGACUAUUCUGGUAGACCACAAUCCUUUCUUCUUGAAAUCUUGUGAUUUUUACCCAGCAUGUGAAAGGAAAUAUUCCUAUCAUGUGAAUGAGUUCUGCUGCCUUCUACUGUAUGGUGGAACUAUGUAUUUCACUGGAGAUCCUUGCUUUGGCUUUUUCGUGGAGAUUCCUGAACCACUGGUGUGCAUGCCAGUGUUUCUUGAUUUUGCUGGUGGCAGUUCUGUAUUACUACAAGACUGAUUAUAGCCCUAGUGAUCCAAAAUUCCUUGUAAGGUUGUGGCUGUUUAGCUGAUGAUGAGAAAGAGUCAAAAAUGGCAGUCCAUGGAGUGGCAACAUGUGAAUUCCAAUCAAAUAAAAAUUUCAAGACAUAGCCCUCAGCAAGUAAAGUGAUGCACGUUUUCUUUCGCGAUAGAAAAGGAGUGAUGGUUCUGGUUUUACCAGAAACUGGACAAAUCUUCUAUUCUGCUACAACGUGACACUGACUAAGCUGAAGACUCAAACUUCCAGAUUCACAUCGGAGAAGACAACAACCUUUCUCUUGAUAUGAAUAGCACCAGGAUGCAUAUCAGUUUGAAGACUGAGGGGCACAUUAUCAGAUUUGGCUGAAAUGUCUUAUCACACUCACCAUAUAGUCUGGAUUUGGUACCUUCUAACUUCCAUCUGUUCAGGCUGAUGAAAGAUGGACUGCAUGUGUAACAUUUUCCUAGCAAGGAUGCCAUAAUUGCAGCUGUGAAACAGUGUGUCACUGCCCCUGGUGCAGAUUUUUGCAAGCACAGCAUGUAAGCUCUUUUCCAUCACUGGUGAAAAUGCACAGCUAAUGGUGGUGACUAUGUUGGAGAAGAAGUGCUUUGUAGCUGAGAAUUUGCUCUAUCAAACAGUGUUACUGUGCUCUUUGUAUCUGUUGUACUUUCCAUGGAAAUAAAUCAGAGAUAUGACAUUCGGAGCAACCUGCAUAGCAUAUACCAAGGUCCAAUCAACUCCAGACUGCAUCAACCAAUUGUACAUAACUACAAAAAAGAAUGGAUUUCACACCAUGUCCUCUACUGUGACUCAUGCAGCUGCUUGUCUUCAUAGUUUUUUAUCUGAAGACAGCUGUAGCUAGCUAGCUUUUAUGCAGCAUUCCAGUCACAGCUGCACAGUAGGGUCUGGCAGCUUUGACUGGGUUAGAUGAAACAGACCUUUGGAGCUAACCCCCUAUUAUACAACAGUUCAUAUCUCAUUCUUCUCUUUCCUAUGGUCCCAAUCUAGCUGUUACCUUGCAAUAGUGAUACUUCUGGUCUUAUUAUUAUUUCUAGCAAAACAUCUCACCAUGAAGCUGGAAGUUUCUUUUAAGAAUCUGCGUGGAGUAUACCUGUUAAAAUACUUUUUUUUUUUUUUUUUCAGAUUUGAAUCUAGUACAAAAUAAGCAGUGAAUACUGAAUACGACAUCUUGUGAAUAAGAAAUACAUUAAAAUAUAUUUGGCAUCCCACUUGUAAACAUGUUUACUAGUACUCCUGAUCCUUUGAACAGUUGCAAGUUACAAGGAGUCAGAUCUUACUGAACACAGCACACCAAGUAAAAUCUCUACUGCUUAAACAAACAAACCAUAGGGAUAUUCCCCACAGGGGAAAAUCCCAGAUGAAUUAGUCAGUCUGUCAGCUCGAGUCUUUCAUGUCUAUAUCAGUUUACAACAAAACUCAUUUUUUUCACAGAGGAAUAUUACAUCUAAAUUACUAUAUUGUUUUACUAAUUUCUUGUCUCCGAGACCCAAGCAUGGCAUACAGUACUGCCAUGUAUGGUACAGAACUUCAGAAUUUCACUUUGUGAUCUCUCAUUCUUCAGGUAUUCCCUAAUGUUGAAACUCUUCUGAGCUUUCUCAUUUCUCCAUAACUCUUGUAAAUGCCUCAAUUUUUUUUUCAUGUGAGAUGACUUUUCCCCUAAGGGAGAAACGUUAAAGCACACUGUAUAAAUGAACCAAGCUAGAAAAGUAAGAAAUGCUUUUUCAAAAUACAUAAAGAAAAUAUUUUGAUCCUUUUAUUUCUUCAUGGAGAGUUUUAAUUAAGACACACAUCUUAAUGAGGGAUGUGAGCUCAUAGGUUGUCUGAACCCUUCUUUGUUUUUGGCUAAAGCUUGUUUGCUGAAGCAUUCCUUGUGAUAAAGACUCUGACUUAUCUGGGAGACAAGAGGUGGGUGUUGUCAAGUGGCAGGCAUCACCUUGUGGACAAGCUGUCACUCCAAAAAGAGCUGACUCAGCCACUCUGGACUUAUAAAUAAGUUUGUACUGCCACUAGAAAGCGUCACCAUUGUCACCUUUGUCACUGUUAUCUCAGUCGUCGGUUGUCAAUUGAACAACAACAUCCAACGACACACCACUAUUGAAAUCAAUGACUGAACUACGAGCUACACUGGACCCAUGGUGGUGACUAUCUCCCCCAUGCUCUCUACAAAGUCUCCUUGCUUUUAUUUCCAAUCUUUUGUACUGUUUCCCCCUCCCCAUCUCCCUAAAUGACUAGGAUUUGUAUUAAACUGCUUGGACC
ensembl:lncRNA